rnacentral:rRNA from 1 species
UGGGGAAUAUUGCACAAUGGGCGCAAGCCUGAUGCAGCCAUGCCGCGUGUAUGAAGAGGCCUUCGGGUUGUAAAGUACUUUCAGCGAGGAGGAAGGUGUUGUGGGUUUAAUAACCACAGCAAUUGACGUUACUCGCAGAAGAAGCACCGGCUAACUCCGUGCCACAGCCGCGGUAAUACGGGGGUGCAAGCGUUAAUCGGAAUUACUGGGCGUAAAGCGCACGCAGGCGGUCUGUCAAGUCGGAUGUGAAAUCCCCCGGGCUCAACCUGGGAACUGCAUCCGAAACUGGCAGGCUAGAGUCUUGUAGA